UUUAGGACUUCAAGUCGUCACUUGUUGCACUCACUUUUACUGUGAUUUUUAACUACCUUUCAUUUAGCAUUAAAUUAUCCGGUGUAUAUUAUGGCACUAAACUGAACUACCCAUUCGAGCAGCUGAAUUCUGAUGCUUCAGUUCCUUCAUUGAAGAAAAACUCGUCAAACUUUGAUGGAUCGGAACCCAAAGUGGAUAAUAGAGUAAAAGUGAGGAUGCAAUCUUCCUUAGAAAUGCAGAUCUUCAAGGACCGAUGGACUGAGGCCGCAAAGAAGGAUAGAUGUUGGAUCGACCCGUAUAGGUAAUUACAAAAGUCAACCAACGCAACGUUAUUGUGAUAGUUAUAUUUUCAUAUUAACGAAAUAAAGCUGGAAGUGAAGGUGUUCCAGUCUCCAUU